rnacentral:rRNA from 1 species
CCUACGGGUGGCAGCAGUAGGGAAUAUUGCUCAAUGGGGGAAACCCUGAAGCAGCAACGCCGCGUGGAGGAUGAAGGUUUUAGGAUUUUUAACUCCUUUUUUUUGAGAAGAUUUUGACGUUAUCUGACGGAUAAUCACUGUCUAACUCCGUUCCAGCAGCCGUGGUUAUACGGAGGGUGCCAGCGUUAUUCGGAAUCACUGCGCGUAAACAGUGUGUAUGAGGGGUAAUAAGUCGGAUGUGAAAUCCUGUAGGUUAACUACAGAACUGCAUUUUAAACUGUUAGUCUGGAGUGUGGUAGAGGUAGGUGGAAUUCUUGGAGUAGGGGUAAAAUCCGUAGAGAUCAAGAGGAAUACUCAUUGCGAAGGCGACCUGCUAGAACAUUACUGACGCUGAUGCACGAGAGCGUGGGGAGCAAACAGGAUUAGAUACCCUAGUAGUC